rnacentral:rRNA from 1 species
UACAGAGGGUGCAAGCGUUAAUCGGAGUUACUGGGCGUAAAGGGCGCGUAGGUGGUUGUAUAAGUGAGAUGUGAAAUCCCUGGGCUUAACCUAGGAAGGUCAUCUUAUACUGUAUAGCUAGAGUACUGUAGAGGGUAGUGGAAUUUCCGGUGUAGCGGUGAAAUGCGUAGAGAUCGGAAGGAACACCAGUGGCGAAGGCGGCUACCUGGACAGAUACUGACACUGAGGCGCGAAAGCGUGGGGAGCAAACAGG